UACAGGGGGUGCAAACGUUGCUCGGAAUCAUUGGGCGUAAAGCGCACGUAGGCGGUUCGUUAUGUCGGAUGUGAAAGCCCUUGGCUUAACCGAGGAAGUGCAUCCGAAACUGGCGAGCUAGAGUACGAAAGAGGAUCGCGGAAUUCCCGGUGUAGAGGUGAAAUUCGUAGAUAUCGGGAGGAACACCAAUUGCGAAGGCAGCUUACUACAGGAAUAUUGACACUGAUGCACGAAAGCGUGGGGAUCAAACAGG
rnacentral:rRNA from 1 species